GUUUGAUCCUGGCUCAGAUUGAACGCUGGCGGCAUGCCUAACACAUGCAAGUCGAACGGCAGCACAGCAGUAGCAAUACUGUGGGUGGCGAGUGGCGGACGGGUGAGGAAUACGUCGGAAUCUGCCCAGUCGUGGGGGAUAACUAGCCGAAAGGUUAGCUAAUACCGCAUACGACCGAGAGGUGAAAGCGGGGACCGCAAGGCCUCGCGCGAUUGGAUGAGCCGACGUCGGAUUAGCUAGUUGGCGGGGUAAAGGCCCACCAAGGCGACGAUCCGUAGCUGGUCUGAGAGGAUGAUCAGCCACACUGGAACUGAGACACGGUCCAGACUCCUACGGGAGGCAGCAGUGGGGAAUAUUGGACAAUGGGCGCAAGCCUGAUCCAGCAAUGCCGCGUGUGUGAGAAGGCCUGGUGUAGACACUUAUCUAGACGAAAGACGUA
rnacentral:rRNA from 1 species